rnacentral:rRNA from 1 species
UAGGGAAUCUUCCACAAUGGACGAAAGUCUGAUGGAGCAACGCCGCGUGAGUGAAGAAGGGUUUUCGGCUCGUAAAACUCUGUUGUUAAAGAAGAACAUAUCUGAGAGUAACUGUUCAGGUAUUGACGGUAUUUAACCAGAGAGCCACGGCUAACUACGUGCCAG